UACGAAGGGGGCUAGCGUUGCUCGGAAUCAUGACGUGGGCGUAAAGGGUGCGUAGGCGGGUUCUUAAGUCAAGAGGUCGGAAAUCCCUGGAGCUCAACUCCAGAACUGCCUUUGAUACUGAGAGUCGUUGAGUACGGGAGAGGUGAGUGGAACUGCGAGUGUAGAGGUGAAAAUUCGUAGAUAUUCGCAAGAACACCAGU
rnacentral:rRNA from 1 species